GAUUAACGCUGGCGGCGUGCCUAACACAUGCAAGUCGAACGAGGUAGCAAUACCUAGUGGCAGACGGGCGAGUAACGCGUGGUCAACCUACCGUUGAGUGGGGGAUAACUAGCCGAAAGGUUAGCUAAUACCGCAUACGUCUCCGAGGGGCAUCCCUUGGCGAUAAAAGGAGCAAUCCGCUCGAUGACGGGACCGCGUCCCAUUAGCUAGAUGGUGGGGUAACGGCCUACCAUGGCACCGAUGGGGAGCUGGUUUGAGAGAGCGACCAGCCACACUGGGACUGAGAAACGGCCCAGACUCCUACGGGAGGCAGCAGUGAGGAAUUUUCCGCAAUGGGCGCAAGCCUGACGGAGCGACGCCGCGU
rnacentral:rRNA from 1 species